GACAGAGGGUGCAAACGUUGUUCGGAAUUACUGGGCGUAAAGCGCGUGUAGGCGGCCAUCUAAGUCGGGCGUGAAAUCCCACGGCUCAACCGUGGAAGUGCACUCGAAACUGGAUGGCUAGAGUCCUGGAGAGGAAGGUGGAAUGCUUGGUGUAGAGGUGAAAUUCGUAGAUAUCAAGCGGAACACCGGUGGCGAAGGCGGCCUUCUGGACAGUGACUGACGCUGAGGUGCGAGAGCGUGGGGAGCGAACCGG
rnacentral:rRNA from 1 species